ACGAACAACAACAAAAACAGAAUCUUGUUUCAAUCGAAAAACAACAAUUAUUCGUGUCAACAACAACCACAGUCGUCACCACCCAUGCAGUCAAUGCGGCCAAAGGUCGAAGACGAUGCUAAAUGCCUUGGUGAUCAUACAAGUGGCCAAUAUAAUAGUUGUCACUACUAUUGUUGUUGUUGUUGUAACCUGUACUACUACCACCACCACCGCUGCAAGCGCCAACAAUAUAAUCAAUACAAAUAUUUAUUCACAAAAAUACGAUAUCGAUCCAAGAUUAAAACAAUCAAAUCAACGACAAGAACAAGAUUAUUAUCCAAACCAAUUUUAUCAUCACUAUCAUCGAGAAAAGCAACCAAAACAUCAACAGCAAUCACAAAAACGGCGAAUCGCAUUGCCUGAUAUAUCGUUGAAUUUAACGAAAAUUCAACAACAACAACAACAAAGAAGAAGAAAUCACCUCCAACAUCAUCAUCAACAACAUAUUGCAUCAGCAGCGGCGGCAGCCGCCGCCGCUGCUGCUGCGUCAAUCCAUUUAUUAACAAUCAAUUCAGCAUCACUUAUUGCUAAUCCGAAUCGUAUUGAUAAUGGUAAUGGUAAUGAUGAUCAAAUAUCCGUAGCGGAAACUUCAAAUACAGCCGUAGCAAAUUAUUGGCCAAAAUCUAAACCAUUGUAUAAUACAAAUAUUCAUAAAACAUUAAGAACAACAGCAACAACAACAAAUCUAAUCAAUAUUCCAGCGUUUUCAUCAAGUAAUUCGCAUAUUAUCUAUUCACGUUUAUCACCAUCAUCACAAUCAUCAUCAUCAUCACCGUUAUAUAAUACAGAAUAUAAUAAUCUUUGGCCUAGAAUUGAUCAUUCACCAAAUUAUUAUUAUCCAUUAUGGCUUCAUACUACAACAACAACUAAAAAAUUGAAUAAUAAUAAUCGAAAUCGUAAAUAUAAUCUGAAUUUCGAAUCACCAUCAUCAUCGUCCAACACUGAAUUGAUCUCAUCAUCGUCAUCAUUAUCAUCAUUCAUACCAAUAACAACAACAACAACAGCAAGAACGACCGAUAUCGUUGUCGGUUAUAAUCAUCAUCAUCAUGGCAAUGGUGUUGGUGUUUUAGAUGAUGAUGAUGAUGAUGAUGGUAUAGGAACUACAACUUCUUCGUUGUCAUCUACCUUCAUCAUUGAUGAUCAUCAUCAUUCACAUCAUCAAAAUCAGGAUUAUCAUGAUGAAUUUAUACUCGACCGGACAGCACCAGACACAUCAGCUGGUUUUUUUGCAAAAGCAUUGGAUAAUGUUGUACGAUUUUUACCGACAAUGCGUAUGAGAGAUCGACAAAAUCCUGGCUGUGUUGGUGGUACUAAAUGUCAAUUUUUUGUAUUCUGUUGGAUGUCCGGUGGUUCAUUGGGUGCAUCAUGUGGUCCAUUACAUACUUGUUGUGUAACGCCAAGUAGCCAGGAUAUACAGCCAAAAUAUUGGGGACCAGUUAUUAAUGAUCCACAAUGCGGAAAAUCGGCAACAAGAAUUAGCCGUAUUGUUGGCGGAUCGGAUGCAUCAUUUGGACAAUUUCCUUGGCAGGCAUUUGUACAAGUUGGCGGUAGUCGAUGUGGUGGUGCAUUAGUAGGACCAGCUCAUGUUGUCACAGCCGGACAUUGUGUUGCUAGGUCACAACAUAACCCUUCAAGUAUUAGGGUUACAUUAGGCGAUUAUAUUCUACAUUCGGAGAUUGAAAGCCUACCACAUGAAGUAUUUACUGUUAGUGAAGUUAAAUUACAUCCAAAUUUUCGUUUCACACCACAAGCUGAUCGUUAUGAUGUAGCCGUAUUAGUAUUGGAUCGUUCUGUACAAUAUCGUGAAAAUAUAAUGCCCAUUUGUUUACCACCAAAAGAUACAAUCUAUAUUGGCCGUAUGUCUUAUGUUGCUGGUUGGGGUGCCUUACAAGCAGGAUCAAAAUUAAGGCCAAAAGUAUUGCAACAUGUACCAGUUCCUGUAAUUGAGAAUAAUAUCUGUGAAAAUUGGCAUAAACAACGUGGUAUUAAUAUUAAAAUCUAUGAUGAAAUGAUGUGUGCCGGUUAUGAAACAGGUGGUAAAGAUGCUUGCCAGGGUGAUUCUGGUGGUCCAUUAAUGCUUAAUGAAUUUGGUGUUUGGUAUUUAAUUGGAAUCGUUUCGGCUGGAUAUUCGUGUGCCAAACAAUACCAACCGGGUAUCUAUCAUCGUGUUAGUAGUUCAUCCGAUUGGGUAUCGGCAAACGUAUUUCCAUCUGCACAUUUUCGUGUACCCAGUUGAAAAAAUAUUUGACCCAAAAACGUCCAUCCUUCUAUCGUUAUAAUGUUUGUAAAUAAUCUGAUGAUAAUGAUUAUAAUAUGAUAUUAUGUCUUGUGAAUGUGUGUAUGCCGAUAAUGUAUUUAUCCUUUUACAUCAACCCAGGUUUUAAACUACAUCCUAUUACACAAACAUACAUAUACACACAACAUGUGUAAAAAUUCAAAGAACUUUUUUUUUUUUUUUUUUUUUUUCUAUUUCAUUCACUCCCACACCAUCAACCACAUUUGAAUAUAUGCCACUCUGAUAAUCUCGUUACUUAAUCAAAUGAAAUCAAAUAGCUUAAUGUUUGACUUAUUUAUUUUUUUCAAAUAAUUAACCACAUCCAAUAAUGUUCAAUCGUUCAUUACCAACCAACUAUCGAUCGAUUGUUUUUUCUUUUUUAGGAAUUGAACAUCAUUCUGUUUUCUUUUUUUUUUUUUUUUGCUUAUUUCAAAUUAACAAUUUGGAUUCAUAUAUUGUGAUUUAUUAUACUUGGAUUAUCAAUUGAAAUUGGAAAUUAUCCUUGCAAACAUUUACAUCCCGAAAAUUUUUUUUGCCAGUUCCCAUUUCAGUAGGUUUUGCUUUCCAUCAUUCGAUAUAAAAAUCAUGCAAUUUGGAUACAAAUAUCGAUUGACCACCAGUUGAGUGAAAAAUUCAAUCAUUUUUAUCGAUUAUAAUAUCUGAUCGAUCACAAUCAUCAACAUCAUUAUCAUCAUCAUCAUCAUCAUCAAGUUUAUUACAUUGUUCAUCCGAAUCAUUAAACAAAGACAAAAAUAAUAACUGUAAGCCGAAUAAACAUCAUUUGAAACAUAAAAAUGAAAUUGAAGAUGACGAUGAUAUUGUUGAUCAGCCAUGGAUAGAUAUAAAAGAUUUACCAUCAAGAUUAAGAUUAAAAAUUUAUUCCAAUCAAAAUGACAAUCAAGAUUAUUCAACAACGAUACAACAAAGACAGCCACGGCCACAACAUUGGUAUCAACGAAUACGUUAUGAUCUUGGUGAAUGUCGUCGUUUUACAUUUAUACAAAUCAAUAUUAUCUGGUUUACAUCAUUGAUUAUAUUAUUACUACAUUUACGGAAUUGUAAUUCAUCAUCAUCGAAUA